UGCCCUAUGGUGUAAUGGUUUUUAGCACAGGGAGCUCUAACCUCCUUAGUCUGGGUUCGAAUCCUAGUGGGGUGA
rnacentral:tRNA from 2 species